AUUGAACGCUGGCGGCAUGCCUUACACAUGCAAGUCGAACGGCAGCACGGGUGCUUGCACCUGGUGGCGAGUGGCGAACGGGGGAGGAAUAGAUCGGAACAGGUCCUGAAGUGGGGGAUAGGCCGGCGAAAGCCGGAUUAAUACCGCAUACGAUCUACGGAUGAAAGCGGGAGACCUUCGUGCCUCGCCCUAUCGCGUUGGCCGAUGGCUGAUUAGCUAGUUGGUGGGGUAAAGGCCUACCAAGGCGACGAUCAGUAGCUGGUCUGAGAGGACGACCAGCCACACUGGGACUGAGACACGGCCCAGACUCCUACGGGAGGCAGCAGUGGGGAAUUUUGGACAAUGGGCGAAAGCCUGAUCCAGCAAUGCCGCGUGUGUGAAGAAGGCCUUCGGGUUGUAAAGCACUUUUGUCCGGAAAGAAAUCCUUGGCUUUAAUACAGUCGGGGGAUGACGGUACCGGAAGAAUAAGCACCGGCUAACUACGUG
rnacentral:rRNA from 1 species